UACGUAGGGGGCAAGCGUUGUCCGGAAUUAUUGGGCGUAAAGCGCGCGCAGGCGGUUUUUUAAGUCUGAUGUAUAAGUUCAAGGCUCAACCUUGGGAUGCAUUGGAAACUGGGGGACUGGAGUGUAGGAGAGGAAAGUGGAAUUCCACGUGUAGCGGUGAAAUGCGUAGAGAUGUGGAGGAACACCAGUGGCGAAGGCGACUUUCUGGCCUAUAACUGACGCUGAGGCGCGAAAGCGUGGGGAGCGAACAGG
rnacentral:rRNA from 1 species